AGAGUUGUAGUUUAGUGGUAGAAUGCUUGCCUAGAAUAUGUGAGGCCCUGGGUUCAAUUCCCAGCACCACAU
rnacentral:tRNA from 1 species